CCCUGUUAAGGCAAUCAUUCUAACUCUGCUGACUAUGUGCACUUUGCGACUGUUUCGAUGUGAAGAUAUGUCUUAUUUUAACAACGCGAAUACAGACAAACUGACAGAAACUGUAUCCACCGGUACCGUCAGUGAGGGUUACUACUAGAUGUUAUACAUUGAGAAAGCAAUAGUAAACAGACUAUGUAAAUACUAGUCGAUCUGACUGAAAGUCUGCAGUCAGUAUAGUGAAUGAGAAAA